UUUGGAACAGCAGUCGUUGUCGUCGUCGUCGCUGGCGGCAGCGUCCGGCGCCCGGUGGCACGACCCUCCUGGCGACUAUAUAAAAGCGACUUGGCGCCCGAGUCAUUUCUUCAUUUACCGUCAGAGUCCAUGAAGUACAGAGCUCCACACGGCGUCGCCACGCAGACCAACGCAAGGAGGACGCGUCGGUGACGUGAUAACGCGCGAAAACGACGACUUUUAAAACGAAGAUUAAAAAGAUGACGAAUUCAACACUGUGUGUGCCGCGGGCUCUGCGGAACGCUAGGAUAGGCGCGCGUGCGAAAAUCGCUACUGCCGCCGCCGCUCGCCUCCACAACCGUCGACAAAAGUGGAGAUUCGAGUGAUGUUGUGCGAACCGCGAAUCAUAACAGAAGCUAUGCCAAUGAUCCUAAAAGAAGUGGUGGCUCGAAAUUGUUACAGGUUCAUACAAACGACGGAAAGUAUCGUUUAUACAAACAGAUAAGGCGUUUAGAUGCGGGAUGAACAGGCGAACUGGAGUACAGUGCGGUAUUGCUUGCCACCCCCAUCGUCGUUGCAAUCGGGACGAGAACAGGUAAAUCUAUACCAUUCCACUGUUUUCUGUCAUCAGGCUUCGACGUAACUUUACGAAAGGAGUUCGUGGUUAACACAACACGUCCUCAUGGUGGCGAUAGGUUGUUUAGCGCUGCCGUUUGAUCCGUGCUUCGAACGUAUCGUUUCUCGCUGCGUGAGUCUGAGUGAAACGACAGCUCUGACAUUCACCGGGGCUUUGCUAAGUAAUGGUCCUUUUGUAUACACUUUGUCAGUAUUUGCUGUCAUUUUUUGCGGAUCACAGCCAGCAAAACCACUUGUGAUUUUAAUAUAACUCGUCGUAGAUGCGAUGAGAGCCCCAAAGGAGAUGAGGUCAGUUUUUUUCUCAAACUUCGUCCAGGUUGUCUCUAUGCAUGCGUUCUAAGCCGCUUUAUAGGUUUGCAUUUUUAGAAGAAAGGCUAGUACUUCAUAAGUUCCUUCAUAACUAUAUAAUUUAGCAGCAUCUGCUUCAGUUUCAGCACACAUAUAACAAGGGUCUAUGGAAACGAUAUCUAUUAUGUGUGUAGGCAAAAUCAGCAUCACACUAAAGGUAGGCAAUCAGAGUAUAUUUGAAUCGUUCCAUUAAGUUUUUGUGAAUUGUAAGUUUUCAGAAUCUGCUUGAUUAGGCCCAGAAGUUGUUGCGCGUGUCGGACAAACAGUUGGAAAUUUCCGGCUAUCUAAAUCACAAAUGAAACUUUAUUGAAGACUGUAUCGUCUCAGAAGCUGUAUACCUGGAUAGGUCGUGAUGAAAAAUCCUUUUUGAAACUUCCCGCCAUUGUCACUUGUCGUGCGUGAGUUUGUGAGCUAUCGGCCCAGAAUGAAGCUAGAAUGCUUCAAGGAUUUCGCUAGUGCGUGUUAUCUGGUUGUACUGAAACGUGCGAGGGGAAUACGUCGUUAAGAAGCUUGUGUCAAUAAUAAUAAAUCAUCACUGUUAAUUUUUUUCGAAGGACAGCCAGGAAGACUGAGAGCAGCCCUAGAUUGUAAAAACACUCGUUAUAAAAUGCCUAUCAAAGUAAAUGACUUAUGGUAUUUGAUUUGUUGUAAAGCGUUGUCCUCAAGUUGUGUAACGUAGUAACUAAUGAACGAAAGUAAUAGAUACGUGCUUUAUUUUCUGGAUAUUAUGACAGUAUACGGUAAGUUGGAAAUUUAAUGUUUCAGUGGAAAAAGUUUAAUAAAUCGUUCACGGUUGCUAAAACUAA